rnacentral:rRNA from 1 species
AGUGAACGCUGGCGGUAGGCCUAACACAUGCAAGUCGAACGGCAGGACGGUAAGAGCUUGCUCUUACGGGUGGCGAGUGGCGGACGGGUGAGGAAUACAUCGGAAUCUACUUUUUCGUGGGGGAUAACGUAGGGAAACUUACGCUAAUACCGCAUACGCCCUACGGGUGGAAGCAGGGGUUAUUCGUACUUUGCGUGAUUGUAUGAGCCGAUGUCGGAUUGGCUAGUUGGCGGGGUAAAGGCCCACCAAGGCGACGAUACGUAGCUGGACUGACAGGAUGAUCAGCCACACUGGAACUGAGACACGGUCCAGACUCCUACGGGAGGCAGCAGUGGGGAAUAUUGGACAAUGGGCGCAAGCCUGAUCCAGCCAUACCGCGUGGGUGAAGAAGGCCUUCGGGUUGUAAAGCCCUUUUGUUGGGAAAGAAAAGCAGCAGAUUAAUACCCCGCUGUUCUGACGGUACCCAAAGAAUAAGCACCGGCUAACUUCGUG